AUGGGCUGUACCAGGCCGUUGGUGGAGCCACGCUCUGGGCUGCAGGCAGGCAAGUCUGGGCACCCCCGUUCCUACAAUGCCGACAACGACUUUCUUGUGCUUCCUACUAGAUUGAUACCUUGGUUCUUAGCUGAGGGAAAUAUUGAUCCCUACUUCGCUGCAUCACCCUUUCAUCUUCAAGUGAAAAAUCUACACAAGCUCAACAAGAAGCAGGAAGAAUUUCUAGCGCCGUUGCCGGGGAGGUUCUACAUCAAGCCUACCAAGCCGACUAGAUCGAUUUUUCUUGCCAUGGGAAGAGGUGCUUUGUGA
rnacentral:rRNA from 1 species